rnacentral:pre_miRNA from 1 species
GUGCUACUUUCUCCAUCCAGAAAUACUUGUCUGAUGAAUGAAUGUAUCUAGAUGUAUUUUAGUUCUAGAUACAUUCAUUUGUAUCCAUUUUUACGGCAAGUAUUUCCGGACGAAGGGAUCGAGUACUUG